rnacentral:rRNA from 1 species
CCAAUAGCGUAUAUUAAAGUUGUUGCAGUUAAAAAGCUCGUAGUUGAAUUUCGGGGUCAGUAGGUCGGUCGUGCCACUGGUAUGAACUGGUUUUACUGAUUCCUCCCUCUUGAAGAACUGUAAUGCCAUUAAUUUGGUGUUGCAGGGAAUCAGGACUGUUACUUUGAAAAAAUUAGAGUGUUUAAAGCAGGCUUUAGCUUGAAUACAUUAGCAUGGAAUAAUGAAAUAGGACGUUUGAUCCUAUUUUGUUGGUUUCUAGGAUUGACGUAAUGAUUAAUAGUGAUAGUUGGGGGCAGUAGUAUUCAAUUGUCAGAGGUGAAAGUCUUGGAUUUAUUGAAGAAUAACUACUGCGAAAGCAUUUGCCAAGGAUGUUUUCAUUAAUCAAGAAAGAAAGUUAGGAGAUCGAAGACGAUCAGAUACCGUCGUAGUCUUAACCAUAAACUAUGCCGACUAGGGAUCGGAUGAUGUUAAUUUUUUAAUGACUCAUUCGGCGCCUUACG